GAGAAAAAUGACUGCUACUGCUGAACCCAGGACACAGUUAACCAUAAUUUCACAUGAAAUCUGUAUUGAGAUCGCAAAAAUGUUAUGUCCCAUGAAAGGGAAAAGGAAAAUAAUAAGGAUUUUCUUUUUACAGUAGAACUAAAUGCUCACUGGAAAAUAUUAUAUGCUUACUUCAAUAUUACUGCUAUUUUUCAUACUGCCUAGCAGAAGUUAAGGGUACAUCUUCAAAGCUGGCUUAGGCCAGUCUAGCUUUGUCACCACAGAGAGAGGGCAGGCCCUUCCUCCCCCACUGCUGCCCAUUCCUUUAACAACGGGCUGAAGAGUUGUUAAUGGUGAAGCAAGGUUAGCAAGUACUGGUGUACUACAGGGAUGAAGAAGGGCAGAACAGUAUUUCAGCAGUAGUCUGAUAGUUCUGUUCAAGGUGGUUUUAAAACCCCAGGGUGAGUCUCCAUCUCAGUAAGCACUAUGCAAAAAUUCUUGCACAGAUUUUGAAAUGAGCUGGGUUUUUUUUGCUGGCUUUUGGAUUCUCUUCUCUUUUACUUUGCAGUCCUUACUGCCCAGUUUGUUACCUCAGAUUAUUUGGGACAGUGAUAAAUGUUCACUUGCCGCUGCAACUAAGAGACUUCAUAAGGAACUGGGUCCCACUGCAGGUGUUAAGUAAAGCAUUUCAUCUGUUCUAAGGUCUGCAAACUGGAAUCAUAAUGCUUAGUCUUUGCUUUCUUCUCACUUAGUCUGGUUAGGAAACGUGAAUGGAUGCCUUAUUCUGGGAACUUGAUUCAUCAUUUGUGUUAAUGUAAGCAGGACAAAGUGUCCUUAAUUCUGACUAAUUUUUGCAAGUCACCACAAUAUAAAUGUGCUAUGCACUGGGUCUGUUACCAUAGAAAGGCAAAAUGCUGCCUAUUUGUGUGCUGCACUAUUGCAUUCACAAUCUCAUAGUCAUUGCUCUGGUUAAUCUGCUUUCUGUUUUGCUGGUUGUUUAUCACAAAUGAGUGUCUCUUAGGAGACUCAGAAGAAUGUUUUUUACCUUGUGUUUCAUUCUCUGAAUAGGAGAAUAAAAAGUGCAUGCCAGGUAAACCUAUGCUCCCUGUUCCACAUUGCCUCUCUUUUCACUGCAGCUAAUUUAGGCGCAGUGAAAAGAGGAGCAGUGCUUAAGUGCUGAAGUGCUAGUGUGCUGUGGCAUUUCAGCUCCAUGUGUUUAAAGUGGCCUUUAGAUGUGCUCAAAUUUUCUGCAAAAUUCCAGCCUCUGAAGCAUCUCUUCAUCCCUGACAUUUUUUUGUUCUUAUUUUUAUAAGUGGUGUCAAUUGCUUUGCUUUGUGAUCUGUGGUAGAGAGGCAUCUGGAGUUCCAGAAUGUAAUUACCUGAAAUUAUGUUUUAUUUUGCUCACUAAAAGAAGGCUUCUCAUUUUUUGAUGCUAGGUGGUGUAUUUAUAUUUAUUUCUUUUGCUUCCUUUGUUGUUUGCAAACUAUUCUUAUGCACUGUUUCCAUGCACUGUCUUUUGUCCUGGAAAGAUAGGCAUUACAAAUUUUUGUUGCCUACAGAGAAGGGAUAAUUUUAAAGAAACAUUUUAAUGAUAGCAAGUAGACAGUGGUCUGUGCUUAAGCACAAGGACCAAUACAGGCAAAGUGUAUUGUCUUGUCUUUACUCUUCUGCAAAGAUAGAUUUUUUUAGUAUUACUGACAAAUGCAUAGGAGAUUAACCUGUUUUCUUAAUGGUAAUUUAAAAUGAUAAUAUAAUCUGCCCUGUGUAAUGCUCUCUUACCCAGAGGAAAUGAAAACAGCUUUAGUAUGAAAAAGCCUAUGCAUUGACGUCUAGUUGCCCUCACUGAUAUUACACAGCCAUUAAUGGAAGCCUUCACUAUUUCCCUCUGCAGGAGUCCCUCCUGAAGACUUUGUGUGUGGGGGCAAGACAGUUAGUUUCUGGAAAUAUGGCAUAGCUAAGGAGAGAGGGAUAGUGCUUAGAUUUUCAGUGUGCUUAGGCAAGGCCCCUCAAGGUAGUAUUUAGUGUUAUGACAUCAGUGGUGUGAAGGUGAUGGAAUAUGUCCGUGCAUCCAGCCCUUUUGUUUUUUUUGGACUAAAACUGAUCUUAGUGGGGGGCACUGAAAGAAACAAGCAUGUUUUGGAAAUCCUCCGUGGGGUAGUCUUUUCAUCACCACAGCUUAGUGGUAAAGUUCUUGCUACAGCCAGGAAUAAUAAAACAGCAGGGUGCUGGUAGCUGAAUGAAAACAACAUCUAUUUUGGUAACUACUGAACUUGCUGAGGGCUUGAAAGGGAUGACAACUUUUUAUGUUAAAGACUCCCCUCUUGGCUGAUGUGCCUUCUGGAGAAGGAACAUCCAUAAGCAGCUUGGUCUGGGGCAGGCCAGUCAUUCUGCAAAGCGAACUUGUUUGCAUUUGGCAUACCCCUGGAGCAGGGGUUCUAAGCACUCCCUUUCCUAGCUGGGAAACAAAUACACAAAGCAAUUUUUACUUACUUAUUUUUAAUGAAGGCUUUUUGAGUU